rnacentral:rRNA from 1 species
CUACGGAGGAUGCGAGCGUUAUCCGGAUUCAUUGGGUUUAAAGGGUGCGCAGGCGGCCCGUCAAGUCAGCGGUGAAAUCCCGUGGCUCAACCACGGAAGUGCCGUUGAUACUGUCGGGCUGGAAUGCGGUCGAGGCGGGCGGAACGUGGCGUGUAGCGGUGAAAUGCGUAGAUAUGCCACAGAACGCCGAUAGCGAAGGCGGCUCGCCGGACCGGGAUUGACGCUCAGGCACGAAAGCGUGGGGAUCGAACAGGAUUAGAUACCCUGGUAGUCCACGCCGUAAACGAUGGGCGCUCGUCGUCGGCGGCAGAAUGUCGGCGGCCAAGCGAAAGCGAUAAGCGCCCCACCUGGGGAGUACGGUCGCAAGGCUGAGACUCAAAUGAAUUGACGGGG